UCUACACUGCCCAUGUCACAGCACUGCUGCAGCCGCGCUGUAACGUGGGUAGCGUAGACAUACCCUUACUCUGGAUUAAGACUGGCCUUUUGCAGUUUAGCUUAAACUGCUUCUGAAACAACAUAAGGUAAACUGGAAAAAGACACCCAUAUCAAAAUAGGAGUGUCCAUACACUGAUUUUUACUGAUGUAGUUACAACAUUUUAAAUUCACCCCUGAUCUUAUACAUCAUUAUAAUUUCUCUGUGCAGACAAGUCCUUGCAGCAGAUAAAAAUUUUAGCGGUUUAACCAGAUACUCCUACUCAUUGUCCAUGGUAACCUCCAGGGCCGAAUAUAUUCUGGAAAAUAAAGAGCAAUUCCUCUAUCUAGUUGGAGAGCUAGGAACACUCUAAGCAUGCCUUGAGAGCAUCUCUUGAUCUCUCUGAUGGAGCAGCCAGUUCACUUGCUUCUGCAGUGACUCCAAGAAGGCAUGCUUGGCUCCACAACUGCAGCUAAUCACCCUUAUAUUCCAUCCUUAUUGUAAGACUUAUAACAUUUUCCUCUUAUAUAGGGCUUUAAUCUUGGCUGCAAGGGUGCUGAGUGAGGCACUCUGGGGCACUGCAGUGUCAGUGGGUGCGUGGUGCAGGCCCUUUAAAACUGAGCUGCUCGUCCACAGCGCAGUUUGCAGGCAGGAGCUCCAGCAGCUUACACUCCAGGCCAGGUUUCAGUAGCAGCUUGGGAAGUUUCUUUCCUGAGAUCUGAGUUUGAAAACUUGUCCCCCUCCCAGCUAGCGGGAGGAAGAGGGGAAAACAGCAUUCACCACCUCCUACCAGUAAGUGCCUGCCCCGUGCAUGGAGGUGGGGUGGCAACAGAAAGCCCAGAUGUGCCUACCUUUAAGAUGCAAUAUAGGCACAGUACAGUACGCUAUUCGUUAGGGGGUUUGUCGUCUCCGCUGCUGCCUGAUAGCUUAUUUCCGGAUCCCCAUGGCAUCUGGUUGACCAUCAGUCCGUAACUCUGGUGUUCAUAUCUUUGAGGUUCUACUGUACUGGAGAAGCUGAUGGCAAUCAAGACACGUCUUUCACCUUCAAAACAUCAUCCUGCAUAUUCUCCAGACCUCAGUCAUCAGUGUUUACCCUCAGAAGAUACUGGUAAAGCUAUACGGGCCUCAUCAGGAAAAAUGGGAGCCCCCAGGUCCUGGUGCUGCUGGUUUGCUGGAUGAGCCUUUCCACUACCUCCAACAGUCUAUGCUGUUGGCUGCCACCCUGACCCAGAGAUCAAGCUGCCCAGACAUACAAGGUGAAAGAAGAUGGUAACUCCUAGUGCAACUGUCUGCUAGAUUGACUGGCAGUUUGAGCUGCUCCGGCUGGUGACCAAUCUCAUCCCAGAGAUAACAGUAAGGACCUUUGGUAGCACAGGAGAUGUUAAGUCACAUACAAGAUGUAAUGUCACCAUCCAGGCUGGGGAGUCUAAAGACUGGUUCUCUCUUCCUCUUGUUGCUGAUGGAUGGGGAUUCUGGAUCUGAGGUGAGGUGCGUGUAGGGGCCAGCAAUGGAAACUCUGGUCAAUGUCCUCCUCCUGGCAGAGUGCUGCUACUACUACUUUGCUACUACUGGAAAUUCCUAGGAUUCUGAAGUCAUUUAAGCAGGAAAACUGUUCCAAGUAAAUUAUGUGUUUCUGAGCUUCAUCACACUGUUCUCAGCACAUAUGGACUAAGUGUUUUUCAUGAAUAUAGACAGUGCAUCCAACACCCCCACCCUCCAAAAAUAUAUAGUCAGUAAAAAGUAGCAAUAUUGGAACUUUAACAUGCAAGAGAGACACCAGUUAGAGGAGAAAACAGAUUUAUUUUUAAACAAUCUAACAGCUAUGUUCCCACACAACAUGUGCUGGUUGGAAAUAUUUACUUCAUAUUUAAUUUUUGUUAAUGUCAUUUCAUAAGCCACUAUUCACUCAGAAGUAUAUGUGCAAAUACUGAAACACCAAUGUUUUGAUUACACAGUGGCUAAUAUAGUAUGUUAACUACAGUACUCCCAAAAAGGCUCCCAACUGAACAGAGGGGAUACACCCCAAAUCCUACUAGGAGGCCUGAGGAUUCCUUCUGCCUGUUAGAAAUACACUCAUGAGGAGGCUGAGCAUAGUGCCUUCCAAAAUCCAUUAACAACCACUCGCUCAAAAUCAACUACAGACUUGUGUAAAUUAAUUCAGAUUAAGGUGGAGUGUGAAUUUAAAGUACAAUAGCUAUUUCUGAGUAACUCCACAUGUGGACCUUUAGAGGUUUGACUCUUCCUAAAUAGCUAUUCUGAAGCAACUGCAUGGGUAGACAUGCUCUAGCCUGAGUAAAGGCUACCUCCAUAUGAGUAAGAGGUUGAAAGCUCAGGCUCUAGGUUCCCCAUUUAAUUGCUGGAUUUGGUAUAGUGCAUGUCCUUCCCACUAGUGUUCUGACAUGAUCUUCAAACCUGAAGUGAAUCAUCUCCUUGCAGGUAAGAAGUACAUUACCUAUCCUACCAGUUAACUCCUAGAAGCUUAACUUCUGCCAGUUUGGCUUAAUUAUGUUUUAUUGCUGAGAGCCUCACCUCAUGAAUGCAAAUUUGAAAAGUUUAAAUCAUGGACUCUGAAGUUACCAUAUAUUGGCUGUAACAGUUAUAGACAUAUCUUAUUUCAGUUUCAAAUUAAUCACUGCUCCACCUGUAAUACUUAUAAUAUAAACUAAGGAAGCAGUGGAGUGCAGUGGAUAGGGUACAAGACUGGAAGUGGAGACCUAAGGUGUAGUCUCAGCACUGAAGUGUCUGAUUUGCCUUAGUUCAUGCUGCAAAUUUACCUCAACACCUUAGUUUUCUGCACUUAUAAAGACUGGAUAAUAAUGUUUAGCCACCUUUACAGAAUGUUGUGAGAUUAACAGAAAAAAAGCUUAACAAACACUAUGUGGUAUUAUCAUCAUAAUCAUAAACACUACCACAUCAAGAAUGCAGGAUAUCUACACUAGGAUUAGAGAAAGUGCUCUUUAUGAUACAGAAAUGAACCACUCAAUUUCAGCCUUCAUGCACCAUUAUUUUCUUUAUAUGUCCCUUUCAUUUAGGGUCUUUGCUCAACAUUGUUACCCAAUGUGGGCAUUGGAAGGCUAUUUUAAGAAGAGUUACACAGAGACAAAGAGAAAGGAUAUUUUCCACGGUCUAGCAGACUUUUUUGUUUUGUUUUCUUUCUUUUUCUUUUAAUUCCAGUAGAUCAGAUGUACAAACUUGGUGUUUUUCUUAUGGAGAUUUAAGAUACCCGUUAUGAAAUACUGUAAAGCACAAGGGCAUCAGAAGAGGUUACUGCACAAAACACAAUUCCUGGAAAAGAACAUGGGAUGUCUGGAUGGAAGAUAGCACUGCUUCGUAGGAACAAGCUUGAAUAAUCAUUUGUUGAGGUACAGGAAGACAAGGAUUGCUUCUCAUCUGAGGUAAGCAGCCACUGCUGCCAGGACUUUUGAGAACACCAUUGGAGCUGAAGAAAAGCUGAAGGGAAGAACUCUGUACUGGAAAUGAUCCUGGACUAAAGUGACAAAUAGGUAUUUCCUGUGUGAUGGAGGUAUCAUUAUAUGGAAAUAGGCAUCUUGUAGGUCGAGGGCCAAAAACCAAUCCCCUUCCUCUAGUGAAGGAAUUAUAGCUGCCAGUCACCAUUCUGAACUUCUGAGACUUUACAAAUUUGUUUAAAAGUCUUAGAUCCAAGAUCGGUCUCAAUCCUCCAUCCUUCUUUGGCAAAAGGAAAUACUUUGAGUAAAACCCUUUGUCCUUAUGAGGAGGUGGAACUGUCUCUAUUGCUCCUUAUUGAAGGACAAAGUUCAUUUCUUGUCUCAAUAAAACCAGUGAGCGGGGUCCCCAAAAAGGGAUGGGGAAAUGGGAAGAGAAGAAGGGAGAGAGGGAUGUAAAAUGGAUGGCAUAGCCCAAUGUUAUGACCUCUAUGAAUUACUUCUCUGUAGUGAUCCACCUUCAAGCAUGUUGGAAAUGGGAAAGGAGGUCUCUAAAAGCGGGGGGAGGUGGGCAAAUGGAUGCAGCUGUAAAACCAGGCAUGCGAGGAUUCAAUCCCUUGACUGACCCGUUGGAACUAUUCCUUUGAAGAUGACUGAGUGCUCAUGGAAUGCAAGUGAAUGGCACUCUCUCUGUGGAAUUAAGUGGAUCUACGGAUUCCAGAGAACUGAGCAGGACACCAUCUCUGGGCAGUCUGUAACCUAGUAAAUCUUCUCUUAUUUGUACAUGACCAGUGAUCGUAAAGUAGCCCUAGAGUCCUUUAGUGUGUACAAGGAUUCAUCCACGGUCUCCGAAAAAAGCUUAUGACCGUUGAAGAGGAGGUCCUCAACAGUUUUCUGAACUUCUCUCAGAAUCCCCGAGAGUUGGAGCCAAAAUGCCGAGCAUAACAACUGCCAUGAAGAUGUUCCUGGCAGUAGUGUCCACAGCAUUCAAGGCUGUUUGAAGAGAGGUUUCUGGCCCUGUGAAAUGAUGGACUGGAAUUGUUCCCUAUGUUUCUGCAGCAGAUGUUCAAUAAAGGCUGUAAAUCUAUUAUAGUUUGUAAAAUUAUAUUUGGCCAUGAUUGCCUGAUAGUUCAUGAUCUUAAAUUGCAGGGUUGCGGAUGAAUAGAACUUCUAUCCAAAAAGGUCCAGUCUCUGUUGGUCCUUGUCAUAUGAAGUAGACUUUCCAGAAGUGUUACUUACCAUGCUCAUUUAUCGCAUCCACCACUAGGGAGUUUGGGGGGACGGGAGGGAAUGCGGGAGAACAAAAAAAAUCAGAGUAAUUAAGGGAACAUAAUAUUUCUUACCUGCCUGUUUACACCUUGGCGGAAUGGUAGCAGGUGUCUGGCACACAGUCUUAGCUGGAUCCAGAGCACCUUUUUAAUGGGUAACACCACCCUGGAGGAUGUUGGUGACUGCAGGAUAUCCAGCAGCUUGUACUAUGAAUGGAAUCUGAAGAGUGUCAGCUACUCUCAUUAUAAGGUCAUGAAACUGAUGGAAACUGUCAGCCAUUGAACGUGGUGGGGGCAAUAAUCAUCUUGUCUAGAGACAAGGAUGAAAUAGGUGUUUGAGAAGUGGCCUCCUGCUCCUCAGAUGUCUCUUCUUGUUGGGGAGAGGGGUUUGUUGGGGAGGAGAGGACUGUACAGAUUUCGCUUCCCUAUGAAACAGCACUUGUUGUGAAUUGCUGCCAAUAAGCAACCCAGGGUCUCAAUGUAGCCAUGGGGAGUGGGGACAUAUGGAAGUGCCGGUGGCAUGCCAGGUUGGUUCCACCAUCCUUGUUGCCAAGCAUGAUGAUCUUCCUUAUGACGGUCAAAGAAUGGGUUCCUAUAAGGCUAUGUCAGAGAACCUUAUUCAGAAAUAGAAGAGACUGACUGGAAGUCUUCAUCCUCUUCAAUAUCCUCCAAUGGGGGAGCACACAGAAAAGGUCAAGAUUCCUCGAGUACCAGAGAACAAUGGUGAUCUGGAGAUCAGGGUGUCAGUACCAAGAGAUACUCAGUACCCAUGAGGAGCAGGGACUUCAUUUAGUCAGUUACAGACAGGGCCUUAGCGUAUCAGAUUCCAUGUGGUACCAAGUAAGGGUAUUCACGCAGUAGCCGAAGCAGACUGUAUUGCUGAUUGGGGCUGUACCAGUGCAGGUGCUGGUGUGUGUGGCACCCUUACUUGCUCAGUAUCAAGGAUGCUGAAUGGAUAGGUACUGACAGCAAGGCUAUGCCAGAGGGUGCCAGACUGGAGUGCUUAUGGAUUACGGCUACAUUUUAGUCAUGGGUAUUUUAGUAAAAGUCAUGGACAGGACACGGGCAGUAAACAAAAAUUCACAGCCUGUGACCUGUUCAUAAUUUGUACUAUAUACCCCUAACUAAAACUUGGUCCAGGAGUGCUCUGGGGAAGAAGUC